CACCCUUUCAAGAAAAUAAAAUACUUGAUAUCUAUCUAUCUAUAUCUAUAUCUAUAUCUAUACUUACUUACUUAUACUAAUUACAGACUCCCUAAAAAUUCCCACGUUAAUUAGUAAAUACUAACCGUUAAUCAUGUGGGGCCGAAAUAAUAACGGUUUAGAUUAAUUCAUAGAAUCCUUUCGGAGUUUCCAUCUUAAAAUAAAAAAACAAGUUCCUUCUCAAAAGAACAGGUUUCCAUCUCAAAAGAAAGAACACAGAAUAUUUUUGAUCUGAUAUUAGAUUAAAAGAAAUGCCACGGUCGCAAACUCUAACUAACUUUCUCACAUGUGUAGUUGUCAAAAAAAAAACUUUCUCACAUGUGUGUUCUAAAAGAACAAUGCUCUCAACAUAAUUUAAUUUCCAUCUCUGCUCCGGCUAUCCUGGCCUUCCUCGACCUAUACGCCAUCGACGCCGCCGCCGCCAUCGACGCCGCCGCCGCCGCCAUCACACGAUGUCGCCGCCGCUGCUGUGGACUCCUUCCCGAGGCUCAGGGCGGGGCGGUAGAACUGCGCUUGGCUGCAGUGCGUGUUCCCGGCGCCAUUGCCGACUGUCGGUGCGCCACCGUGCUGGCACCUCGACGGGCUGCUCGAGGUAAUGGCCGUGAGGCGUACAAGUUGACCUCACGCUGCAAUCGCUCUAAUAAAAAGGGCCACGAUUCAGUCGAUCCCCAUGUCAUACUGAACUUCAGAUUUCCAUCCAACUCAGCAAUCGAUCUGAAAAGAGGCCAAUUAUUGAAUCAAUCUUACACCGGUUGAUGCAGCGGAGGAGGAGGCGGCUGCAGUAGGCAGUAAGGCUGCCGAGUGAAGGGACUACAGGGAUUUGCUGGCCCCACGAUCCCUGCUCUGUUCUUAAAUCCUUUCAAUUCAUCACAGAAGAUACAGGCAUACAAUUUGGCUUGAUCCCUAAUGUUUGGACAAGAAAAAAAGUUGGUUGUGUACAUGCGUAUCCAUAAGUGGUCCUUUUGACUUGAUUGUGUGAUGUAGGAAGAGAAAGCAUGCAAGUUGCCAUGGGCUGCAUAACGACAUUGCUUCCAGUGGCACCAAAGAUAUAUAUGGUAGGCCUGCCUACGGACAGAAGAUCCCUUUGAUGUUUCUAGGAGGUUUAAAUUAUAGAUGCUUUCAGAUGACCCUAUGUUAGCCAACCAAAUUAGUUUUCUUACAUGGCAACCAAAUUAGCUGAUGUCGUUUCGUUUGUACCAGAAUUGAAUGAUGCGUGUGUUUUUCUCGAGUACAGGCUACACAUCGGAUUAACUGGAUGGUACAUCCGAUCAUCCAUCCAUUACAUGGAGGUACGUUGCUUAGAGUUUGAAUAUUUUUCCAUGUCUUUAACUGCUAAAUUGUGCAGUUUCAUUUUUGUUAGAUCAGGUAGUCAGAUUUUAAAACUAUUGGCCAUACAAUUAUUAGCUUCAAGUACUACUUGAGCUGCACAGGUGGGCACAAUACUAUGUUCGUCAGUGCAAACUGUUUUGUGUAAUAUUUUUGCAAAUAUGGUCAAUGUAUACUGUUUUUUGUAAUAUUUUUGCAACUAUGGUCAACGUAUACUGUUUUCUGUAAUAUUUUUGCAGCUUCAGAGAAACUAUGUGUAGGUCUCUUCACCAUUCUUAGUAUUUUAAGUUUAGUGCUACAGCUAGCUCUUUAUUGUGCUUAGCAGCAACUGUUAUGACAGGACUAACUUCUCUUUUUCGUUCAUGAAUUCACAUGCUAGGAUUCUAUGUUAAAUAGGCUGAUUCUUCCAAGGGGUCGUUAGAAUGGGAAAUCGGAAGAUGAUGUUGUAUGAACUCUUUGAAAAUCCCUAACCACAUCUACUAAACAUUUAAAAUUCUAUAUCCUGCCCAUCGAAUUAGUGUUGCGUAGUUUUGCUUAUGCUACCACAAUUGCUCUGUAGGUUAACGGAAAUCCCAACCACUUGAAUACAUGAAUGCAUAAUGUGAUUUUCCAGAAAAUUUAGGACCCUUUUAUAUAUGCAACCACACUACUAAGUCCAGAGCUCAUGAACUACAAGACAAGUUCAACGAUAACCUAUAUUCAUAUUAACCAGAAUAUCAUGCAAAUGAAUUAUUAUGUUUAUUGGAUAUGACAAUCCCGUGCAGGUUUAGGCAAUCAUUCCACCUUCUAUUGUUAAGCAAAGGUAUAAACCCUAGAUUGCAAACAUUUUCCUAUACAUAUGGCAUUAAGUUAUGCCAAUUUCCUUACAUCCACCGGCCACAAGCUACCCAUGCAAUAGGUAAUUAUGACAUGUCAAUGAUGCAAUGGUGUUUGAAAUAUUUGGACUCCUAGUGAAACUUAAGAUUCAAAAGCUAGCUCGCUUAUCGAUUAUAUAUAUAUUACAACACUAAUUUGAUACCUCCAACAAACAGAACGUAAUAAAAAUAUAUGAUCCGCUCAUCUGAUGUGACCGAGUUAUAACGGUGUGGAUUAACAUCUGUAAUCAUCGACUGAAACCCUUAGAAUCAUUAGAUCUUUGGUACUGUAGUUGAAUUACCCACCUAUGCCAUCAAAUUAUGUGCACACAUCCUUUAAGAGAAAUCCACCAAUGUGUUUACCACCCAGAAUUGAAGAGUCGCAAUAUAGAAUCAAACUUUUCGAUCCCUCAUCCAUGUCUCUCUCCUGCAAUGGUGUCAUGCCUAAGUGCUACCACCAUUCGCACCCCACUAUGAUAUGUCUUCAGGUUGAUCUAUCUGCUAAUGGUCGCCGGCUGGCUGGUGAGCGUUGUCGCCAUUUGUAAAUUUGACGAUGCCUUGACGCAUAAGACGUUCUUAUGCUGCACUUACUAAGAGCAGCAGCGUGGUUAAUUAAGUUUAUGAGAGAAGUGUCAGUUCAUGCCGACGAUGGUCGAUGGAGCUUUAAUGUGGUUGUCGAGGCAUAAAAAGCAUGGUGAUCAAAAAUAUUUCUAAGGGUAAGGUGCAGGCAGCGCUAGCUGAUACUAGCAUGCCGUUUUUUAUUGUCUCUUAAUAUAUUUAUUUUCCAGCAGAUAUCCCGGAUUGGAUCAAAAAUUAUUUUUCCCAGUUUGUAACCCAAUAUGUUUGUGCACAAACACAUGUAAUGCUGAGGUACAGUUUAUGCUACAGCAGGUCCGGAUCAUUUGUCGCUCCGAGAGGAGUUCUUUCUGCGGUGAAGACACACUUACACGCAGCCUUUAACAAUUUCUUUCCGGUGAGACACAAGUAUAAGGAUUUAAGCACCCUUGAUUGAUUCAUGGAGAGCAUACGAAAUGAUUCUGGCUAAUCUAAUCUAGCUACUGGAUCUGGAUGGACCGGAUGAAGAACGGAACACACGCCGGUGAUUGCCCAAGUCCAGUCCUAACAAGGCCAUUAAUCACAUGGAUACGUUAAUUCCAGCAAUUUAUCUGUUGUGCUUCCUGAUGUUAUCUUAUUAACUGGACUUAGAAAUGGAGAAAUGCCAUGAUGUAAUGUGACUUGGUGGUGCAAGGUUAUAUUGCUGGACCAAGAUCUGCAUCUAUAUUUCCUAAAGUCUUUCACUUACAUUCUUUUA